GCCCGCUUGGCGGAACAGGUAGACGCAACAGACUUAAAAUCUGUUAUCCGUAAGGGUGUGCCGGUUCGAGUCCGGCAGCGGGCACCA
rnacentral:tRNA from 1 species